UAUCGCCGAUCGCCUUGAGUUGAUAUGGCUCAGAACGAACGCUGGCGGCGUGCCUAACACAUGCAAGUCGAGCGCGAAUGGGAGCAAUCCCUAGUAGAGCGGCGCACGGGUGCGUAACACGUGGGUAAUCUGCCUCGAAGACCGGGACAACCUGCCGAAAGGCUGGCUAAUACCGGAUAAGACCACGGGAGCUUCGGCUCCUGCGGGAAAAGGUGGCCUCUGCAUGCAAGCUAUCACUUUGAGAUGAGCCCGCGGCCCAUCAGCUAGUUGGCGGGGUAAUGGCCCACCAAGGCAACGACGGGUAGCUGGUCUGAGAGGACGAUCAGCCACACUGGAACUGAGACACGGUCCAGACUCCUACGGGAGGCAGCAGUGGGGAAUUUUGCACAAUGGGCGAAAGCCUGAUGCAGCAACGCCGCGUGUGUGAUGAAGGUCUUCGGAUUGUAAAGCACUUUCGACCGGGACGAAACCCGGUGACCUAAUACGUCACCGCCUGACGGUACCGGGAGAAGAAGCACCGGCUAACUCUGUGCCAGCAGCCGCGGUAAUACAGAGGGUGCAAGCGUUGUUCGGAAUUAUUGGGCGUAAAGCGCGUGUAGGCGGCUUGGCAAGUCGGGUGUGAAAGCCCUCGGCUCAACCGAGGAAGUGCGCCCGAAACUGCCUUGCUCGAGUGCCGGAGAGGGUCGCGGAAUUCCCCAAGUAGAGGUGAAAUUCGUAGAUAUGGGGAGGAACACCGGUGGCGAAGGCGGCGACCUGGACGGUACU
rnacentral:rRNA from 1 species